UGAGGACCGAACCCAGGGCCUUGCGUUUGCUAGACAAGCGCUCUACCACUGAGCUAAAUCCCCAACCCCAUCUUCUGUGUAUUUUUAAAGUUUCUAUCUUGUACAUGCGUUUGCGUUGGGAUGUGCAGAGAAGCGCCUGACUGUCCUGGAAUUCCCACUGAAGACCAAGCUGGCCUCGAACUCCUUUUUGCCUGUCUCAAGUACAGAUAUUAAAGGUAUGUGCUACCAUGUCCAGCCAUAUGGAACUUUCUUGAUUAUUCUAUUUUUACUUAUAUGUGUCUGUGUGUAUAGCCAUGUGUAUGCAGGUGCCAUAUAGGACAAAGGAGGGUGUCAGUCUGCUAGAACUGAUGUGAUGUACAGUUGUAUUGAUGCUAUGAACUAAACUCAGGUUCUCUGCAAGGGCAGCAAGUGCUCUUAACCCUGAGCUAUCUUUUUUCCUUCCUCCCCCUAUUUUUAAUUCUUUCUGAUAGUCCUGACUCCUCAGCUCUAGACAAAAAGCAUAAUGAUGUGUUGAGGGGUGACCCCUCAGGUGGCCAACACCUCUUACUCCACCCUCACCCUGAUCACAGAAUGUCCAUGAGUGGGGAAAAAACAGGAAGGCAGCCUUCCAAAGCCUCGUCAAACAAGUCCCACGGGGACCCUGGCUCCAUGGCCUCAUCGAUAUUAUUCCACGUCAAUUGGUUGCAGUUUCAAGGUAGCCUCUCACUACCCAGCUCAGGGACACUUCAGUCAGAAAACAACAUUGCCAUUUCUCAGCUCACAGUGCCAGACAUGCCAAACGGAUGGCAGAGUCUGCCACCUGAGCAAUGGUAAACUUUGUUUUGUGGUCCCUAGGAUCGAGUCUGGAACCUCACAAACAUGAGGCAAACACGAUCACUGAGUCCCAGUCUUGCCUCAGUCUCGUCCCAGUCGACUUCCAAUGCCAGUGAUUCCCAGUCUUGCAAUCACUGGGUACAGGCAAAGGCAGGGCAGAGGCCAUGAGGUCAAGUCCGUGACGCAAUCACAGCUUCUGGCUUAUACUAGGAUGUGAACUCUGGCCUUCAGGAAAUGGACAAACAUCCCAUUAACAAGGACUACAAAACAAACCCCAGCAAACUUUUAUUUCUAUUACUGUUCACAAGGGCCAAGAUUUCUGCACUUUAACACUGGAUGCUCUUUCCCGCCCACCCAGGGGACACUGUCAGUGUCAUCGUGUCCCCUCUAGAACUUACCCCCAUGCUGGGGCCCCUUCCCCUCUUGCCCACCUUCAUUUCAGGCAGAGCUUUCAAGCCUGGAGGGGGUGGUACUAGUUGCUUCCCGUGCCUGCACGGGCGUGAAAUGUGGCACACUGGCCAGGCUCCUGUUCUGCCUGGCCCAAGGAGGAACAGCAGUGGGGUGUCCUUGAUUUUUUUCAGGCACCUCUGUACAGGUUGGAGAGGAGGCACCUAUGCUGCUGCUGGAAGGGGAAGGGAAGUCAGAAUUCACAGUCGUUUGCUAUGCAAAGUGCUUGUCAGUCCAUGGCUGCUUCUACCAAGUAAUCCAUUUAAAUCCAGGAGAGGGGACAGAUGGGACACUGGGAUGGGGGUGGUGUCCCUUGGAAGGCAGCCAGCAGAGCCUGGUUGUGGAAUAAGGGUCCCCAGAGGCCUUCAAGGUCUUGUGAGAAAAUCAGUCUGCUGUUGAUGGUUUGGCCAGAGAGCCCAGAGGAAAGCGUCAAACCUUGAGAAACUUAAGUCAACCCCUCAGUCUGCAACCGUGGGGUCCAAGAACUGUAGCCUUGUGGCCAAGAGAAAGAGAACCUUGGUAUAUGCUGGGUGGGCCCUGGGGCCAACUAAGAAAGGCUCUUUUUUCUUUUUCUUUUUUUUUUUUUGGCAAGCACUCUAGGCAGAACCCAAGGGAUGAGGAGAAUGGGACGCCAGCCUCUGUGUGGCAAUACAACCUAGAAGAACAGUGUCAACUCCCUCCUAGGCUUUGACUCUGGUUCCAUGGUGAGGUCCUCAAGAGACCAGACCUCAGCCUCAAGACCCAAAUGCAGAGUUCGUCAGCACCCAUUCCUUACUCUUCAGACAGCAGAGAGACCACCGUGGGCUCCAACUCUCCAGAGACAGUGUGUUCUUUGGAUGUGUUUGGCCGCUCUCCCAGGCCCCACACCACCAGGCAUGGGAGAAAAGGGUGUAAGGGGAAAGGAGACAAAAGGACUGAACCAAUAUUCAGGUAACCAAGGAACAGGCUGCCCGACAGAACAGGCUUAGGGGGAACUGGGCACACAGGCCAGCUGUGAGUCCAACUUUCACAUUGAUGGGUGGAAGGCGGGUGGGUGUGUGUGUGUGUGUGUGUGUGUGUGUGUGUGUGAUGACACUUGUGAAUGAGGAACUAGGGAAGGCAAGCUUUCUGGAGUGUUAGUCCCUGCUUUUUUCCCACAUGGGCAGCCAGGGGCUUCCCAGUCC